UGAAGGGGUGCCUGGCUGGCUCAGUCAUUGGACCAUGUGUCUCUUGAUCUCAGGGCUGUGAGUUCAAGCCUUGCAUAGGGUGUAGAGCUUACAUAAAAACAAACAAACCAGCAAUGAAAAUCAUAGGUAGAUACUUAGUGAGCAGAUUAAAAUCUUUCCAGGAGACACCAAGAAAGUAAGAUGAUAGCCAGUUGUUUGCCACCAACCAGGGAAAGGGGAGAAACACUGUUAUUCUGGUCGCUUCUCUGCUGUCCCUGCCGCUGGCCUGGCCGUGGAGCUGGGAUCGAGAGGUAGUUGCCUUCCAUGGGUGCCUCAGCUUCAGAACGGAGAGAGGCAGGACCCUCUGUCUGGUCUAGUUUGGGAUGGUGGCAUUUGUGUAGUUCACCUUUACUGGGUUAAAAGUGUGUGAGACAAAAGUGAAACUCGAAAGUUAGGAAACACCUACAUGUAACCAGUUUCCUCUUUGCCUUCAUAGUUUUCUCCCAAACACGUGAAAUCCCUGUAGGACCUCAGUUAAAGAAAACUUCCUCUGGGCAGCAGGCAAUCACUCGCAGAAGAGAGAAAAAAAUCCAAGAUCCACUGUAUUGUAUUGAUUUGUACCUGGUCUUGUUCUAAAAUUGUUAUUAGAGGCAUGCAUGAUUAACUGUGCCACAGACUGCCGUUGCUUACUGCAAGUCUGAUUUUACUGCAACGUCAUUGAUGACCCUGGAGUAGCCGAAGAUUAAUGAAGAUGGAUCCAAGUGCUUACUACUAAGCAAAGGACCUCCAAGCAAAUGAUAGUGGACCGGAGAGUUCUCUUCGUCGCUGCAGGAAAUACUCUUCAAAUACGAUGUCAAAUGAGCCAAAGCUGUGCUAAACAGAGUAGGUUACUAGUAACUCUCUAAAGGUGCUGGACUUCCUUGCCACGUUAUGGAUUGAUGAACAUUGAGGAAUCCGAGAGGAUGGGAAGAAAAGAAGAAUGGGGAGCUGGUGAUGUGGCCUAGUACAGAGCGAAGAAGAAGUAACUGGCCAAGAAGAAAUGUCACUGAAACACGAAGAUCCCCAGUUUCUUUUUUUCUCGCUACCACUUCUAAGAAUCUUCCCACAGAGCUACAGUAACAUAAAUCAACAGAGAGCAGUAAUUUUAAAUCCAGGCCACCCCCAAGAUGGAUUUAUACAAUCUCCAGAGGUGGGACACAGGCCAUCAGUAGUUUUGGAAGUUCUCCUGGUGAUUCCAACAUGAAGACAAGGUUGGGAGUCACUGCACUGAAGGUUUGUGUACAAGGAUCCUCUGGAAAUGGAAAAGUUGGAAACUUGUGUGUCUUCAAGAUGGGACAUAUUAUGGUCUUCUCUGCUUGGAUGAUAGCUUUCGAAGGUGUUCCUUCUCAGGUGGUACAGUGUAGCCUCUGAAGGGUUAUCUCCACUUUGUGCCAACGGUGAGGGUGGAGAAUGGAUACCCCUGCUAGUCAGAGGGUCUUCCAUAUGGAUGCCCCUGCUUCUCCUGGACAUCUCUUCCCACUUCCCACAUGCCUCCUUUUUCCGUCUUCCUUUCUCUGUGUCUAGAACCUCCUAUUGCUAUACCCUACUCCCUGAGACUUGCGAUUCCUCUCUCCAGAAAGAAGGAGGACUCUCUCUUAAUUCAUCCCUGGGUCCUACAGAUUUCUCAGCCUUGGACAUGUUGUGUCCACCCCUCCUCUGCUCUUCCAAGCUUCUGCUGUCACAGCAGAGGAUAGGAUGAGCUCUGCUCACCUGUAUGGGGGCAGGAGGGGCCAGAGAAGUGGGGGAAAAUGGCUUGGGAUUUCUCUCCUGGUUGACAUUGUUCAACAAAGGAUGCUUCCUGGAAAACUGGCUACGCCAUACUGGGAACUUGUAAGAGAACAAACUAUGAACUUUUGUGUUCAAUAUAUUAUAUCUCUAUUAUGGUAAACUUCCUAAAACUGGUUGGACAAAAGCCUAGAGAGACACACAAAUAUGUUAGUGGCGGUUGCUUUUUGGAUGGUAUGACCAUGGGUGACUAAUAAAAAAUUUUUUUGCAACUUUUCACAAGGAACAUAUUGUUUUUCUAAUUAAAAAAAAGAAAUGUUCAAGUUGAUGAA